rnacentral:rRNA from 1 species
CACGUAGGGGGCGAGCGUUGUCCGGAAUCAUUGGGCGUAAAGAGCUCGUAGGCGGCUCAGUAAGUCGGGUGUGAAACCCUCAGGCUCAACCUGGGGACGCCACCCGAUACUGCUGUGGCUAGAGUCCAGUAGGGGAGUGUGGAAUUCCCGGUGUAGCGGUGAAAUGCGCAGAUAUCGGGAAGAACACCAGUGGCGAAGGCGCUCUACUGGGCCACAACUGACGCUGAGGGACGAAAGCUAGGGGAGCGAAAGGG